rnacentral:rRNA from 1 species
UACGUAGGCAGCGAGCGUUGUUCGGAAUUACUGGGCGUAAAGAGUGUGUAGGCGGUGUUCCCAGUCUGUUGUGAAAUCUCCCGGCUUAACUGGGAGGGUGCAGCGGAAACUAGAAUGCUAGAGGGUGGGAGAGGUAAGCGGAAUUCCUGGUGUAGCGGUGAAAUGCGCAGAUAUCAGGAGGAACACCGGUGGCGAAGGCGGGUCUCUGGGCAACAACUGACGCUGAGGAGCGAAAGCGUGGGGAGCGAACAGG